AGACAAAAAUAGAUAACCUUCAUUUUGCAUUUUUUUUCAAUAAAUUGUAAGAGACUCAUUGGAUACUUGGAUGAACACUCAUUAUAUGUUUGUUUUUCAUGUUUUCAAUACGUUAUAGUACUUUAUAACUUAUAUAUCACUCUAUGAUGCAACUUAGAUCUGAAUACAAUUAUUUAUUUUUUAAAGUAUAAGUAGACAAUUAUUUAUAUAUGCUAUAAGAUUUAAUUAAAAUUAAAAAAGCAGCUUAGAUCCUUGCCUAGACGCUUAGAUUAGGCUUUUGCCCACCACCUGAAUAGCGCCUAACGGCUUUUCAGAACCAUGCCCUUUUGGGAUACAUUUUCUUCUCGUGGGUGGAUUACUUCUUGUGGGUACAUUUGAUUUCACGGGUACAUUUUUUUGUAUAAGGGUACAUAUUUUUUCAUAAGAAAUCAAAAUUUGUUUCAAAAUUCAAAUCCAAAUCAAAAUUCAAAAGCCAAUUUAGUCUGUGAAUUAUUACUUGAGUGAAAAUUAGGUUCCCAAACUUUUUUUUUUCUAGAAAAAUCAGCCCUUGAAUCAUACACAUAUGCAAUUACAUCCUUCAUAUUAGAUUUAAAGCUUCUAUAUUCAAUUUGCAUCAACUUAAGUCACGUUACUUGCAUGCGAUAUACAUUGGAUAAUAGAUUGGUAAUUUUUCAUAAGGAAAUCGUGUAUGAAGUUAACUUUGGAGGGUAAAUUAGAUAUUAGAUAUUAGAUUCGCAACCUAUGUGAAAAUGUUAAUGGCCUAUAGGUGAGAAAUAACGGUAGUACACUCUAAAGUGUGUCAAGUGACUUAAGUUGAUGAAAAAUUGGAUAAAAUAGCUUUGAAUAUAAUAAUAUGAAUGAAAUUAGUAAUUUUUAAUAAAUUUAGGGACUUCUUUACUAAAAAAAAAUAAUUUAAAGACCUAAUUUUUACUGAAGUGAUAAUUCAAGUUACAUUGUAUGACAAAAGCUGAUUAUUAGAUAUAAUACAACAUAGAAAAUAGAGAUAGGAGGUUAUGAGUGAUUAGAUGUGAUAAUCACCCCUUAUGUGUAAUGUGCUCACCCAGUGGACCAAUUAACAAGAUUAUCCUCACUCACACUGAAACAUACUCUACAGAAAUCUGAACAGUGCUUUAUUUAAUUGAAUUUAGCAGUAUAUGCAUGAUACAAAAAUAAAUGAUAAUAAAGAUGAUAAGGACAAAUAGGACGGGGACUAGCAUGUGCCACCUCACUUCCUUUCCCUACUUGCCUUCUUCAGUAUCUUGUCAUUUUCCACUCAUGCACACCACACCGCACCUUGAUCACAAAUCUAACUAAAAAAAAUCAAAAUAUACUUUUUUUUUUUUUUUUUUUUGAAGAUGGGGCAAAAAAUCAAAAUAUUUAAAUAUACAAAAAAUAAAAGAAUCAUUCUGACAUGGAAUCAGAAACCAUAUUUAAAAAAUAUAUAUAUGUUAAGAAGACCAUCUAUUUAAAUUAUAGUUUGCAAAUAAGUGACGAGAUUGUUGAUAGUUAAAUUAUUAGUUACGUGUUGAUUAAUAUACUUAUGUUCUACUAGUGUUACAACACAUAAUUUACAAAGUUAAUCUAAAAAAUUAGUCUAUCAAUCAUUACCUUAUAAAAAAGAUACUGAAAUAAUAGCUUUUUCACUUUCUCAAGUAAUAUGUUGAAAAGAGUAGAGAUAGUGUUCAGUAGAGUAGUCAUGUUAUUCAUUCGACUCUACUAAUUCCACUCCUUUAAGAUAAUCAUAACCAUUACACUAUGUUGUGAUAAAUAUAAACUUGAAAGUUAGAUAAAAGUUAAAAUUUAUAAAUUGAUAUACACUAAUUCACUUGUGUAGAUUUAUAAACAUAGAAAUUUAGAAUUUCGCGUAAAAAAACUUGGAAUUUGGGAUUUCCAAUUCUCAAGUUUAAAUUUCAUGUAAAUAUGUGUAAUUUUCCUAAUUAUAUGAUUGAGAACCUAAAAAUAACAAUUUUUGUAAUCAAUUCUUUUAUUCUUUAGGUUAACCAAAUAAGAAAAUUCACAAAUUCUAAAAAAUGAAAUCUCGUCGUUUCAAUUUCCGUCACAUUAAAAUUCCUUAGUAAUCUUACAUUUUUCAUCCAAACAUAGUGUAUAUUUUCUUAUAAUAAGGCAAACACAUAAUCAUUUGAUCUAACUCUUUAACAUUAUUAGAAGAGCGCUUUAAAUUCAAGUGCAAUGAACGAUAAUUGAUAACAUACAAAAUAGGACAAAUGAGAAGAAAAUAAAGACUUUUUCCUUUCAAUUCAGUUAUGUUUUUGUGUUACCAUUUGGUCUAUCAAAUAAAAUGAAAUAAGGAGAACUUGGAUGUAAAUAAAAUAUUACUAAGAAAAUUCUAUAAUACACCAAUAUAUUGGACGAGGUUUAUAUGUCAAAAUUUAAGGAAUCUCAGUUUAACUAUUUAUGCAUUUAAUACAUCGAUAUAUUGUACAAAUUUACAAAAAUGUGGUGAUAAACCCACCCACUUAUUUCACCGCCCACCUUUGAAUGAAAAUUACGGGAUUUGGAAGGGGAGGUGAUUUUUGAUUUGGGAUCUUAGAAAGGGGAAGGAAAGACAGCAAAGAUCUGGGAAGAAAGGGGAAUAUAAAUGGGCAUGCUUUUAGGCCCUCUUUGGUGAGUUGGGUGAGGUUGAGUUUUAGGAAUAAGAUUGGAUUGACAAGGACAUGUAAAAUUGGACUUGUAAACCAUGUAUGCCGAUAGGUUAGGUAACUACUUUAUUGUGGAUUCAUAAUUACUAUUAAGUCCAGUCUUGUCCAUUUCACAUUUUGACACAACAAAUAAAGGACUUGACUCAAAUCCAUUAAUUUGUCAUAACCUACCCUAAUCAGCAAGUGAAAGUGCAAGGAAGUGGCAAUCGGGUCGGGGAUAUGGCUAGUGAACAGAAUUUGGAAUUCAAAGCUGUCAAAUAGGGAUCGCAAGGCGGAGCGGCAUGCUGGUGACCAGGGGUUUGGAUCACCAGAUUACAUUCUCAUAUUAUUAAGGUAUUUUGGAGAUAUAACGGGUGGGAAUAUAGUAGGGUUGUUGUUUUCUUUUUUGGAACAAAUAAUAUUAUCUACGUUAAGAAGUGAGGGAGUGGGUUAAGCCUCACAAUAGGUUAACAAUAAUGUAGUUCAAAUUCGUCUUUGACGAAAAUCGAACUUGAGACCUCUCACUCACAGUGAAGAUGAAUACCACCAGAUAGUAGUAAUAAGACCUCAUUUGGUACGUCGUAUAUAGCAUCAGAUAAUACUAAUAAUACAGAGUCGGGUGUUUGGUGCUCUAACGUACUAAAUAGUACUCAAACUAAAUAUCCAGCCCAACCACUUUAAAACUCCUCUCACCCGGCUUAUUAUCCUCCCCAAAAAAAACGUAUUAUUAAUCCGACCGCUUCGUCAAGUUCUUACCCAGUCUUUCUCUUCUCCUCUCUGUCAAGGCAACGCCCCUUCCAUCCAUCCUUAGAUCCAUUACGAUAUGCGAGGUUGACCUAUGGCUUCCAAACAGAUCUUGAAGAAGCUCAAAGAUCUCAACAAGGACUGACCUCUUGCAAGCUAACAGAGUAUCCUCCUUCAUCGACCCCUGUUCUUAUUUACCUAUUUUUUGUUUUGUUUAGUUUUACAGUUUAUUUUCAUUUUUCAUCGUCCUCAUCAUGUUUCAAAGUUUGAUCUGGGAAUUUUAGAGUCUCCUUCUUCUUCGUCCCCUGUUCUUAUUUACUUGUUUUUUGUUUAGUUUUACAAUUUACUUUCAUUUUUCAUCGUCCUCAGCAUGUUUGGAAGUUCAAUCUGGGAAUUUUAAUCCUUUUGGUAAUAUGGGUUGUUUGUAAAAUGGUAAGUUUGUUUGGUUCUGGCUUUGUUGUUGAAAUUACUUUUGGGUGAAAGAAUUUUGAGAAAUUAGAAGAAAAGUUUGCUAAUACUAGUCAGAAAUUUAUUUUCCCCCCAUUUUCUUUUCCAUUAACCAUCAUUUCUUUUUCUUUAAAAGUAAUAAUAUUUCGAAGUUCUCACAUCCAGUACCAAACAAAGUAUAAACAAUACGAUAGUUGACACACCCCGACUGAGGCCAAGGCAUUCUGGCCGUCACAUAAGAGUGAUGUAGUCAUGUGCACAGUGCGGAAGCGAUAAAGAUAGCAAAUAUAUGAAUAAUUAAAAACCACAUUACUAGAGUACACUAAACAGAAAGUGAUAAGAGUUAGUUACAACAAUAAACACUCCUAAUCAGAUCAUAAAGUCUAGGUGCAGUCCAGUAGGACAAGUACUAGUUACACAGUACCAGGAAUGUCCUACUAUUAUUCAAAUAGGUCAGAACUACUAAAGAUCCCGAGCCACCAACAGCAAUCUUACUUAGAACCUAGAGGGGCGUAAAACAGAAAGCGUGAGUGGGCAAAAACAAAUGUUUUACAAAACCAUUUCAUUAUCUAGCAUAACUAACCCCUCACUGUAAAACAUGUAUAAUUUUUCUAGAAUCAAGAUAUGAGCAUAUAUAUAUAUAUAUAUAUAUAUAUCUGAAAUCAUAACAAUUCAGUUCAUGCUUCACAUAAUCAUUUUCAUAUGUAUGCCAUACCAAAAUAUAACAGGGUAAACAAUCUAAGUAAGAAUAAUUUCAUAGAAAUGUGAUAUGUUAGCUAGAACUCCUAUGGUAGUCUGUAUGGCUGAAUUCCUAGCUCAAACUCAAUCUAGCCGAAGUCACUUCCAUGACCUAUACGGCAAUAUACUGCAUAUAAGUCGGAACCACUGAAAUGGUAUGUACGACAAGGUUGGGUGUAAUAUAGUUAUGCUCAAUGCUACGCCCUUAUGCUAGUUGUGCGAUAAAUCGUUAAUCACAUACGAGUCGGAAUCACCUAUAGUAGUCUGUACGACAAAACUGUGCAUUUAAAUUCGAUCCAAUGUGAGUAUAUGAUGCGGGAAGUGACAUAAUAUACAGGCAUGUGCCAACUCUCUCUGGCUAAAUCGCAAUCACCCAGGUGCAGGUUAUGAGUUCAAGGUUCAUCAAUACAUUUAUAAUCAUUCUAUUCACAACUAAGGCCUUUGUCUUAAACACAUCUCAUAUAGAAAAUCAACAUGUUCAUCUCAGUUAUUGAAUGACUGCAUCUAACCUCUCGUUAGACUGCCUACAUACCCUAAAUAGGGAUCAAGCCGUUCGUAGUUUAUCUAAUCAAACAUAACUUACCUGAACUUAAUUGUGCCUCCACAGCACCACAUUUAUAUAUAUAUGCAACCAUGGAAAUGCAUAUUCAAAAUAUCAAGUCAUUUGGCAUAUUGUUUCAAAACAUACUUUCAUUUAAAACACAUUUCUGGGAAAUAAAUCAAGUAUAUAAAUAUAUACUGAAAACAAAAGUCGACUCACUGAUAUGUCGACGGGUCGUAACCCCCGAGUCGCCUGUGGAUACGCUCGUCCUCGGAAUAAGUCUCACCUAUAUGCAAAUUAACUAUAAAAACGUUAUUUUAAAGCAUAUAGGCAAAACUAGCUAAUAACUUCUCAUACAUAGCUCAAAAUAGGUAUAUGAAUAUACCAACGUGACCUACACAACCUCACGAACAUCGUGAUAUUUUUAGAAAAACUUUCCUAUAGCUCACGCGCCCUCACGUGCCGGG
rnacentral:lncRNA from 1 species